GACGAACGCUGGCGGCGUGCUUAACACAUGCAAGUCGAACGGAAAGGCCCUGCUUUUGUGGGGUGCUCGAGUGGCGAACGGGUGAGUAACACGUGAGUAACCUGCCCUUGACUUUGGGAUAACUUCAGGAAACUGGGGCUAAUACCGGAUAGGAGCUCCUGCUGCAUGGUGGGGGUUGGAAAGUUUCGGCGGGUGGGGAUGGACUCGCGGCUUAUCAGCUUGUUGGUGGGGUAGUGGCUUACCAAGGCUUUGACGGGUAGCCGGCCUGAGAGGGUGACCGGCCACAUUGGGACUGAGAUACGGCCCAGACUCCUACGGGAGGCAGCAGUGGGGAAUAUUGCACAAUGGGCGGAAGCCUGAUGCAGCAACGCCGCGGGCGGGAUGACGGCCUUCGGGUUGUAAACCGCUUUCGCCUGUGACGAAGCGUGAGUGACGGUAAUGGGUAAAGAAGCACCGGCUAACUACGUG
rnacentral:rRNA from 1 species